UUUAUGCGCCGACUAAGGAACAUAACCCCAGCGUAAGAUGCGACAGACCUGUACCGGCAAUUAUAUAAUGUAUAUUCUAAAAAGUUAUGACCCAGUCCUCAAUGCAAAGUUAUCCCUCUGUGUUCCUCAAAAAAAGAAAACAGAAUUUUCAAAGGGCUAUAGCAAGAUCUGGAACAUGGACCUGGGCAUUAACAGCUGAGAUUUCUCAAGUCUACUGUUUUCAGAAUGUGCUCCUUUCUGUAACAUGGAAGAAAUGCUGAAGGGAGAACAUGACAAAAAAUUUUAACUGAAUUAAUAUUGAACCAUUAACACCUUAUUUUGUGAAGCUACAAGAUGUUUUGUGAAUAAAAAGUUUCUACAGCAAGUUUCCCCCACUUCCUCCCUCCCCAUACCACAAACAUCCUUUUAACAAAACAGGAUGUGUUGCUUUUCAGCUGCUUCAUCAUCAAGAGGAAACCAACAAAUUGCUGUUUAAACAUCGAGCAGGUUUGGACUCCAAUUACUUCACCAUUAUUGGUAGUGAGUUUUUCUGUAAACAACAACAAAAAACAAAAGAAACCACUCUAAGUACACUCCAAAGCAUCUUUCCCCACAUUUUAGUAUUGGAAUGGGAUUUUCAUUUUACUGUUGGUGGGAUUUAAAGCCAUAAGGCCCUGGCCUUGUGAGUUGCUGUUCCCUGUAAUGGGAGAUAAAGAUGUUCAGCACCUUACAGGAUAGGCCUUUUCAAGUUUCAUCCAGAGCCCAGUGAAGUUAGUGGAAGAACUCCCAGCCACUUCAGUGAGCUUUGGAUCAGGCCUCCAGACAUCCACAACACACCUGCUGUAGACUUUCACGCACCCUUUUGCAGUGGAACUACUAAACUACAACUUCUGUAAAGGGUCUCUCUUCAGAUGUCAAGAAAAGGGCUGAUAUUGAUUCUUCAGAGCCAAGAUUGUUUGGUUGGGAAUAUUAUAUAUUUACAGCAUUCAUUACAGUGUUUCCAUCCUACAACUGCAUGUUUCUAUAUAAACUAAACUGUAAAAAUAAAAUCAGAGAACCCUAUUUAUUUUUAUCACAAAGACCAUUUAACAGGAUAUAAAUGUGCAUGAAAAUAAGUGCACAGCAAAUGAAUUACUAUAAUUGAAUUUUCUUGUUUCAAUAUAACUGAGCUAGAGGAAGAUGGAGUAUUAUCAGACUACCUGAGGAGUCAAUUUUGAAGACAACCAUCUAUCCUGAAUAAACUCACUUCAGUCAAUGAAAUUAUUAUGGAGAGGCAAAAGUACUGGUACAAUCUCAACUAUCCAUCAUCAGGGCAGAAGAUAGAACUGCAUGAAUUGACUGUCAUGUUUCUGGCAUAACCCUGAGUAGUGCUUAUAUACACUGGUAUCGACAGAGACCUGAUGCGGCUCUGGAACAGAUUCUCUAUUUUUCAUCAGGAUUCUGAGAUGGGAAAGUUUGAGGCAGAGAAGCAGCUCUCCAAGUCGAUCUGUAUCCUGACAGUAAAAAAAAAAACAUAAGCAAGAGUGAUGUGGCUACCUAUCACUGUUCUGCUUGGGAUCAUACAGUAUUACUAAACCACUCACGUUCUGUAAAAAAAACCUACUUUGUAUUCUCAACAACAAUCUUUUACAUGUAUGAAACCACAGCUACCUCCUCAUCCUGCCCCUCAAGAUGGAACCAGAGAUAAAAGCAACAGAACUGUUGCUCUCACAAGUUUUGCAAACAGUAAGAGCCCGCCUGUCUCUGCCAAACAACAAGACCAAGAAGUUGCACAGGGCAGCUAAAUUUUCAGUUGCUCUCUGGAGAUGGCUCCUCACAAGUGCAUCUGACCCAACCUCAACUGUCCAUCACCAGGGAAGGAAAUAAAGCCAUACGAAUUGACUGUC